rnacentral:rRNA from 1 species
GACGAACGCUGGCGGCGUGCUUAACACAUGCAAGUCGAGCGAUGAAGCUCCUUCGGGAGUGGAUUAGCGGUGGACGGGUGAGUAACACGUGGGUAACCUGCCUCAUAGAGGGGAAUAGCCUUCCGAAAGGAAGAUUAAUACCGCAUAAGAUUGUAGUACCGCAUGGUAUAGCAAUUAAAGGAGUAAUCCGCUAUGAGAUGGACCCGCGUCGCAUUAGCUAGUUGGUGAGGUAACGGCUCACCAAGGCGACGAUGCGUAGCCGACCUGAGAGGGUGAUCGGCCACAUUGGGACUGAGACACGGCCCAGACUCCUACGGGAGGCAGCAGUGGGGAAUAUUGCGCAAUGGGGGAAACCCUGAUGCAGCAACGCCGCGUGAGUGAUGACGGUCUUCGGAUUGUAAAACUCUGUCUUCAGGGACGAUAAUGACGGUACCUGAGGAGGAAGCCACGGCUAACUACGUGCCAGCCGCCGCAGUAA